rnacentral:rRNA from 1 species
UACGGAGGGUGCAAGCGUUUAUCCGGAUUCACUGGGUUUAAAGGGUGCGUAGGCGGGCAGGUAAGUCAGUGGUGAAAUCUCCGAGCUUAACUCGGAAACUGCCGUUGAUACUAUUUGUCUUGAAUAUUGUGGAGGUAAGCGGAAUAUGUCAUGUAGCGGUGAAAUGCUUAGAUAUGACAUAGAACACCAAUUGCGAAGGCAGCUUACUACACAACGAUUGACGCUGAGGCACGAAAGCGUGGGGAUCAAACAGG